GGCUGUGUAGUGUAAUCCGGGAGCACAUCAUCCUUGCAAGAUGAAGGAGGAGUUCAAAUCUCACACGGUCCA
rnacentral:tRNA from 1 species